rnacentral:rRNA from 1 species
UGAGGAAUAUUGGUCAAUGGGCGAGAGCCUGAACCAGCCAAGUAGCGUGCAGGAUGACGGCCCUAUGGGUUGUAAACUGCUUUUAUGUGGGGAUAAAGUGCGUGACGUGUCAUGCAUUGCAGGUACCACAUGAAUAAGGACCGGCUAAUUCCGUGCCAGCAGCCGCGGUAAUACGGAAGGUCCGGGCGUUAUCCGGAUUUAUUGGGUUUAAAUGGAGCGUAGGCUGUCUAUUAAGCGUGUUGUGAAAUUUACCGGCUCAACCGGUGGCUUGCAGCGCGAACUGGUCGACUUGAGUAUGCAGGAAGUAGGCGGAAUUCAUGGUGUAGCGGUGAAAUGCUUAGAUAUCAUGACGAACUCCGAUUGCGCAGGCAGCUUACUGUAGCAUAACUGACGCUGAUGCUCGAAAGUGCGGGUAUCAAACAGG